UUUGGCUUGGGCACGUUUGGGUGGAUGUUUAUCCAAGUUGGAAACUUUUUUCCUUAAUAACAGAGAAGAAUAUUGUUACAUCCUAAUAUAUACUUCUCAAAAAUCUUCAUAGAUCUCUCUUUCGUCAUUCCGUGUUAACUGUUAGUACAUAAAACUUUUGCAAAUUAUUUUUGGUGGCAACUGAAGUUUGAGGGACUAGGGUUGAAUAUCAUGCCGUUUAAUCUUCUCCAUUAACAUAGCUAGGGUUGCCGCACCACACACAGAGCGUGCAUUACGUUCCCACACAGCAACGCCUCCACACAUUGCCCCUUCACAUCACAUCUCGUCCUCCACGCAGCCUUCCUCCCUUAAAACCCACCAGUCUUAACCAUUAAAUCUCAUGGCCUACACACAUGCAGUGACUACGGCCACCACGUUCCUCUGUCACGGCCUCUACCGAUCGAUCGAAAUCCUCUGUUUUGGACCCUCAAAACAGAGCACUCCAUAGCAGUGCAAACCGAGAGCCACGGCCCACAGAACAACUCCCCACCAUCAAAAAACCCCGUACGUAAGACUCUCUUAACUCGUUUUCUUCCUCUCUAGUACUAUUUAAUCUGAUAUCUAUGUAUUUAGUCCACGAUCGGUGAUGUUAUUCGAUUUAAUCUGAUUUAAUCUGAUAUCUAUGUAUUUUGUCCACGAUCGGUGAUGUUAUUCGAUUUAAUCUGAUUUAAUCUGAUAUCUAUCUAUUUCGCCAACGAUCGGUGAUGUUUAGGUGGCUUUUCGUAUUCACAGUUCACAGUUCACUCAUUGGAAACGUAUUCAUACAAUGAUAAUUGAUAUAAAAAAUGGUAUUAUAUAGAAGUGUUACUGGAGAGAAGUAGUAGCGGUGGGAGCUCAAAAAUGGAGAACAAUUAGGUUUGAAUAGAGAAGUGAAGAAGAGAGGGGGUCUAUAUAGUUGUUGUGGGCAGAGAAAGAGAGGGAAAAAUGGCGAGAAACAGGAGGAAAGAAGAAGGUGGCCUUUCCAUUACAGCUUGAAUCCCAAACACGGCAUUCCCCCUCCAGCUCAUGUUUUUGGUCUUAGAGAGAGAGAGAGAGAGAGAGACGUCCAGAAAGAGGGGGGAGAGACAGAGAGCACGUUUCACGAGGGUUGGAGAAAGAGUAUGGUAGAGUAGGCUCCGAGUCUCUCCGUGUGAGUGUGUAAUUGGUGUGAUCAUUCACGAAAGAUGUGCACUUUUGUUAUAACUCAUCACUUCGAACCAUAAAGCCAAUUGAAAAUGAAAAAUGACCCUUAACUUACGAGAAAAGGAAACACUUCAAGAAUUUUUGACAUUUUUUUUUUUAAGGUUUUCAAGUGCCCAACACCACCUCUGAUUUGCUCUAUCUUCAUACAUAGUACUGUGUCAAUAUGCCAUUCACUCUUUUAAUCAAAACACUUUCACUCUUCUUUUUGCCAAACCCACUUUAACUUGUUCACUUUGGGUUGCCAUCUCAAUUCUCACACCAUACUCGAUUCGGGUCGUCGAAUCCAACCGAGUUUAUGCUCAUAGUUUUGGAGCUAAUUAAGAAAUAGGAACCCCUUUUAUUUGCAGUAUGUUUGACAUCCAAAUAAUCUGCUAGUGAUUAGCAGAUGGGGGUUGGGACAUUCUGUAUUCAAUGAGGUCCCCAACUUCCCACCCACCUUAGACUAAAAUGGCCCAUGAUUCAAACUAAAGUGAGUCGGUGGAAUUCUUCAUUUCCUUACGACUCUAUAUCUGUUUUGCAGCAUUUCAAUGAUUGUUUUUGUUUCAUUAAAAAAAGGUUUAUUAAUUUUGUUAAUGGUUAUUCUUGUUUUGUUAAUUUUGUUUUUUAAUCUUUAAUAAUUUUACUAAUUUGUAGUACUCUUUGGCUUUCCAGCUUUUUGCACCCUUUUAAAAUAUAAUUUAUGGUUAAAAAACCCUAUUAUUAUUCUAGACAAAUUUAGAUUUUAGAUAAUAUAUCAAUUAUAUCAUCAUGAGAUAAAAUAAAAAUAUCAAUUAUUCGAGACAAAUUUAGAUUUUACAUAAUAUUUAUGAUCUUGCAUUCUCAUUCAGUUCUCAUUCAAUAUUAUUUUUCAUACUAUAUUUUCAGUUAUUGAUGAUCUUGCAUUCUCAUUUAGUUCUAUUUUCAUAUUUCAAAUAUAAUUAAGUUAUGGAUAAAAGUUGGAUAAAGAAACCCCAACAUACAAAAGAGUAUGUCGAUGGUGUGAAAGAGUUUUCGAAGUUUGCAUGUGAGAAUUGUCCUACAGAUUCGUCGAUUUGUUGCCCAUGUAGAAAAUAUGGAUUACGUAUUAUGUUCAUGCCCAACAUAGUAUAUGAUCAUUUGAUUAGUUA